UACGUAGGGCGCAAGCGUUGUCCGGAUUCACUGGGUGUAAAGGGUGCGUAGGCGGGAGAGUAAGUCCGCGGUGAAAUCUCACAGCUCAACUGUGAAACUGCCGUUGAUACUGCUUUCCUUGAGUUCGGGAGAGGUUGAUGGAAUUCCAGGUGUAGCGGUGAAAUGCGUAGAUAUCUGGAAGAACACCAGUGGCGAAGGCGGUCAACUGGCCCGUAACUGACGCUGAGGCACGAAAGCGUGGGUAGCGAACAGG
rnacentral:rRNA from 1 species